UACAGAGGGCUCAAGCGUUGUUCGGAUUCAUUGGGCGUAAAGGGCGCGUAGGUGGCGCUGUAAGUCGGGUGUGAAAUUUCGGAGCUUAACUCCGAAACUGCAUUCGAUACUGCGGUGCUUGAGGACUGGAGAGGAGACUGGAAUUCAUGGUGUAGCAGUGAAAUGCGUAGAGAUCAUGAGGAAGACCAGUGGCGAAGGCGGGUCUCUGGACAGUUCCUGACACUGAGGCACGAAGGCCAGGGGAGCAAACGGG
rnacentral:rRNA from 1 species